rnacentral:sRNA from 1 species
UCCCAGCAUAUCGCCGCAAGUCAUCGGU